GACGAAGGUGGCAAGCGUUGUUCGGUGUUACUGGGCUUAAAGAGUGUGUAGGCGGAAAGGUAAGCGCCUUGUGAAAGCCCCCGGCUCAACCGGGGAAAUGCUGGGCGAACUGCCUUUCUUGAGGCAAGUAGGGGUGCACGGAACUCUUGGUGGAGCGGUGGAAUGCGUAGAUAUCAAGAGGAACGCCGGUGGUGAAGACGGUGCACUGGGCUUGUACUGACGCUGAGACACGAAAGCGUGGGGAGCGAACGGGAUUAGAUACCCGUGUA
rnacentral:rRNA from 1 species